GACAAACCGUGCGAACGUUAUUCGGAAUCACUGGGCUUAAAGGGAGCGUAGGCGGGCUAUCAAGUCUGGGGUGAAAUCCCACGGCUCAACCGUGGAACUGCCUCAGAUACUGACGGCCUCGAGGGAGAUAGGGGCAUGCGGAACUGUAGGUGGAGCGGUGAAAUGCGUUGAUAUCUACAGGAACUCCGGUGGCGAAAGCGGCGUGCUGGAUCUCUUCUGACGCUGAGGCUCGAAAGCUAGGGGAGCAAACGGG
rnacentral:rRNA from 1 species